rnacentral:rRNA from 1 species
AAUUAGGUAGUAAAAUUCUUUAAACCCAUGCUUUUUGGCGGCCCUUCUUCUUCUCAGAGGAACUUGUUCGAUAAUCGAUACUCCCCGCUCAAUUUCACUUUUUUAAAUGUUUUUAUACCGCCGUCUGAAGACUUAUAUCAAAAUUCAUUCUAAAGAGUCAGAGACUAAAAAGUCAGGUCAAGGUGAAAUUAAUGAAAAAGUCAGAAUGAGUUACAUAUAUUAAUAAUUUGAGGUAUGCCUUCUAAAGAAGACAAAAAUUAGGAUUUGAUUGUAUUAGUAAGAUAAAAACUUACUUAGACCUAGUAAAGAAAGGUGU